rfam:Picea glauca, whole genome shotgun sequence.
UGAUGAAAGAGAUAUUGGGGCGGUUCAAUCCCAUGACGCAAUUACAGUGCAGGUGUAAUGCGAUCUCGGAUUGAGCCGCGCCAAUAUCACUUUUCGGCUC